CCAUCUUCGAAACAGAGAAUACUCACCAUGGGUCGACAAGCCACCAAUACCCCUAACUUAUCUAUGCAGCCACCGAGAAAUUCCACUUGACAAACAUAAAUUUCAAAAAAUUGUCUCCAAUACCUACCACAUGUCAACAAUUCCGGCAUAUUUUUUUUCAAAAAAAAAAAACAAUUCCGGCAUAUUCGAUUGCCGGAGGAAAAGGAAAGUGGAAGACCUCGAACAUCGUUCGUCAAAAUUCCUGUCAACCGGAUCGAAUAAAAUUUAAGAAAAGAGAAAAAAAAAACAAUGGUGUCUGAGAU
rnacentral:lncRNA from 1 species